GUUCCUCGCGUAGAAAUUUUAGCUGAAUUUCUGUCGCGCAUUUUCAAGAAAAUACCACAAAAUCUGCACAUUUUUGAUGAACUAAUGAUUUAUUUUGUCUUUUGCGUGUUGGGUCUUGCGAAAAAAAAUUCUGAAAAUGCCAUUUCAGACCAUCUAGAGACUCCAGAUUUUCGAAAUUUUCUCAAAUGUUCUGCCUUCAUUUCCGCGCAACUGCCAUUUACGACGAAAAUUCCCGCCGCGCAUUUAUAAUACUACAGUCUGGCCCAUACUUUCCUGUAAAUUUCGACAUACUAAAACGCUGUUUUCUGACUAUCAGAAUUCUGUUAAAUCUUCCCCUAAAGUCCAGGAAAUGGCAUUUUAGAGACUCUAAAUUUAAAAAUUUCCUCGGGCCUUCGGCCCUCGCUUUCAGCCCCCCAAUCGAAAAGAGCUUCCUACGGCC